GGAACGAACGCUGGCGGCAUGCCUAACACAUGCAAGUCGAACGAGACCUUCGGGUCUAGUGGCGCACGGGUGCGUAACGCGUGGGAAUCUGCCCUUGGGUUCGGAAUAACAGUUGGAAACGACUGCUAAUACCGGAUGAUGACGUAAGUCCAAAGAUUUAUCGCCCAGGGAUGAGCCCGCGUAGGAUUAGCUAGUUGGUGAGGUAAAGGCUCACCAAGGCGACGAUCCUUAGCUGGUCUGAGAGGAUGAUCAGCCACACUGGGACUGAGACACGGCCCAGACUCCUACGGGAGGCAGCAGUAGGGAAUAUUGGACAAU
rnacentral:rRNA from 1 species